rnacentral:miRNA from 1 species
AUGACUUUAAGUCGCGUCUGGCCC